rnacentral:tRNA from 1 species
AUCUGGCUGGCUCAGUUGGUAGAGCAUGUAACUCUUCAUCUCAGGGUUGUGAGUUUGAGCCCCACGUUGGAUA